rnacentral:rRNA from 1 species
CAAAAACAUGUCCUUUUGUUUAUUAAUUUAAGGUCUAGCCUGCCCAAUGAGGAAUUGAAUGGCCGCAGUAUAUUAACUGUGCUAAGGUAGCGUAAUCAUUUGUCUUUUAAUUGAGGGCUGGAAUGAAGGGUUGGACGAGGUAUUGGCUUUCUUUUAUUCAGUUUGAAGAAUUUAAUUUUUGAGUUAAAAAGCUUAAAUUUAUUUAUGGGACGAGAAGACCCUAUAGAUCUUUAUAGUUCUAAUAUUUUAAUAAUUUAGGGAUUUAUAUAUUUGGGGUAAAUGAACUAUUUUGUUGGGGUGACUGUAGAAUUUGAGUAACUUCUAUUAUGUAUUUUCAUUAAUUAGUGUUUUUUUUGAUCCAUAAUUUAUGAUUAGAAGAUUAAGUUACCUUAGGGAUAACAGCGUAAUUUCCUCGGAGAGUUCAUA